UACCAUGCAGUCGAACGGCAGCGCGGGGCAACCUGGCGGCGAGUGGCGAACGGGUGAGUAAUACAUCGGAACGUGCCCUGUGAUGGGGGAUAACUACGCGAAAGCGUAGCUAAUACCGCAUACGACCUAAGGGUGAAAGUGGGGGAUCGAAAGACCUCACGUCAUAGGAGCGGCCGAUGGCGGAUUAGCUAGUUGGUGAGGUAAAGGCUUACCAAGGCGACGAUCCGUAGCUGGUCUGAGAGGACGACCAGCCACACUGGGACUGAGACACGGCCCAGACUCCUACGGGAGGCAGCAGUGGGGAAUCUUGGACAAUGGGGGCAACCCUGAUCCAGCAAUGCCGCGUGUGGGAUGAAGGCCUUCGGGUUGUAAACCACUUUUGGCGGGGGCGAAAUAUCGAGUGAUAAUACCAUUCGGUGAUGACGGUACCCGCAGAAUAAGCACCGGCUAACUACGUGCCAGCAGCCCGGGG
rnacentral:rRNA from 1 species